rnacentral:rRNA from 1 species
UAACACGUAGGAGACGAGCGUUAUCCGGAUUUACUGGGCGUAAAGCGCGGGUAGGUGGGGUCUUAAGUCAUGCGUGAAAGCUCUCGGCUUAACCGGGAGAGGUCGUGUGAAACUGGGGCUCUCAGAGGUAGGUAGAGGCAGAUGGAAUUCCGGGUGGAGUGGUGAAAUGCGUAGAGAUCCGGAGGAACACCAGUGGCGAAGGCGAUCUGCUAGGCCUGACCUGACACUCAGACGCGACAGCAUGGGGAGCGAACGGGAUUAGAAACCCCGGUAGUCCAUGCCGUAAACGAUGCAUACUAGACGUUAGGGAGGCAUAGCCUCUUUAGUGUCGAAGCUAACGCGAUAAGUAUGCCGCCUGGGGAGUACGAGCGCAAGCUUA